GGGAAGUUUGAAAUUGGCGGUUGGCAAGAUGCUGUGUUUGGAGAUGGGGCCCUUGCCCAGUCUGGGGCGCUGUCUUUUGCUGUCCGAGCUCCUGCGGGUAGCUCUGCCCAGACCGCCCGCCCCAGAUAAGGAUGCUAGGAACCAAACUCCAGCACUCUGCAUGAAUGCACUCAACUGAGCCAUCGCCCAUGCCUAACGUAGGCUCACGUUGGGGAAUCAGGAGGCUGUGCGGUACAGCUGAGGCAGCCUGCCUGGCUUGUACCUCUGGGUUGAGCCGCAGCAAGAUCGUGAAGAUCUCACCACAAAGAUAUGUUCAAACAGACUGUCUCUAUGCUGGAACCCUAUGACCAAGCUGACCCUUUAACUCAGAGGCUGCCCCCGCCUCCUGGGUGCUAGGACUUUGGCUAUGACACCAAGUGCCUGGCUCUAAUGCCCAUUUUUAUAACCACCAAAUUGUAAUGUCUCCUACUUUCCUCUAUUCCCAGCACCUAGCACAGAAUAGAUAUUUCUGAGUAUGUUGACUGAAACAAAAAAGACUGUAACAGCAGUAGGCUUGUCUGACUACAAUUUGGCUUUCUCACACAGAUACACUUAGAGCAUCGGUAGGCACACUGCAACCACCAGAGGAGGUUUGAGGAGGUUUGAAAACUACACAACAGGUGGGCCAACGAGAUGGCUGAGAUUGUAAAGGUGUCUGCAGCCAAGCCUGAGGAACCGAGUUCGAUCCUCCACACCCACACGGUGGAAUAGAGACCCGGUUCUCACCAGUCAUCCUCUGAUCUCCAGUGCAUGCCACACUUCCCUGUGCAUGCUUACGCCCCCUGCAAGAUGCAAAUAUAAAUUAAAACGUAAGGCAAAAAGAAUACAUACACAUGGGCCUCCCCUGCUCCUAGCUCACUUCCCCAUUCCAGGAUCUAGACUCGGGGUGUUUUAAAAGCCCCCUUAAGUGGCUCCAGUGUAUAAUGUGCAGCCAUCCUGAGGAAGGGAUGCCAAGAGAACAGAGGGGCUGCUAGCAGGAGAUGCUGCAGUCUGCGAGUGGCCGUGCUAAAGACUGAACUGAGGAAUCUGUGUCUGAUGAACAUGCUCCAUUCCAGACUCACCGUAAAUCCAUAUCCUGGCAAUCUGGCUUCAUCGCCAACCUUAACAGUGGAGCGUCUUCCCUGCAGGGAGAACCCACUCUAAAGAUGGCUCGGUUGCAAAAUUACCUAAAUACUUCGAGCUUCCUAGAUCCUCACCCCACCAACCCCGCUAUGAUGAAAUCAAGGGAAAGGGAUGGACAGGUAAUUUAAGGAAGCAGGAGAUCAGAGUGUAGCUCCGUGAUGCCAGUCAAAGCAGAGCAAACCAGACUCUGGGUCUAACCUUCAUCACCACGGUAAGCGAUGCCAAGCCUUUGAUUCCAGCGCUCUGGAGACCGGGAGACAGGCAGAUUUCUCAGUUCAAGGCCAACCUGAUCUACAGAGGGGGUUCCAGGAUAUAGGUGUCGGAUUCCCCCUGGAACCAGAGUGGACGGGUGGUUGCGAGCUGCCAUCCGGGUGCUGGUAAGAGACCAGCUGGUACUAGCAUCGAUUUCCAAGUUACCCCCCCCCCCGAAACAAAACCCAAACCUAGCUUCAGGGUCUAGGCUCACCCCCAACAAGGCCUGUGUCUCCAGGUUCUCCCCCAACAAACCUGCACCCCCAGGCUACAAGUCCACCCCCUGCCUAAUGACUGCCAAUGCAGAGAGAAGCAGAAAUUACGUUUACGAUACAACUCCAGCACCAGCCGAUUAUGUUAAAGGCCACAGUAACUUCCCAAUUAGAUGCUUGCACACUCAAUCCCCGCUCGAAGGUUACUAUAAAGCUUUGCCCCUUGCAAAUCAGGGUUCCUCAUCACCAAAACCAUCCAGUGUUACAGCCGUGCACUGAGGAACCCCCAGUCAGCUCGAAUUAAAAGGCCCUACUGUGAGCCGAUCGGCUCCUGUCUGGUUUUUGGGAACCACUAACAUUUCCCUGAGACUACACUGGCAACAGAGCCCAGGUCCUCUGCAAGAGCAGUUACUUCUCUGCUGCUGUGAUUAAACACCGAGCCAGAAGCAGCUCACAGGAAGAGCUUAUUUGAGUCUGUGGUUCCAGAGGGAAAAGGACCCACUAUGGCUGGGAGAAAUGGAGCCCAGAGCAUGAAAGAGAGAGCCAGAAAUCAAUCAUGAGAGUGACUCAUAAUGGUGAGAGUCUCUUCACUCUCUCAAAGCCUACCUCCAACAGGGCCACACCUCCUCAUCCUCCCCAAACAGUGCCACCAACUGGGGAACAACUAUUCAAAUGCCUGAGACCACGAAUAUAUUGUGUGCUAGGUACUGGAAUAAACAAAGCGUACAAAGACAGCAA